UCAGUCAGUUUGUGUUAUCAUAUUGAUCUCUUUGACAUUAGCCUGCUGAAAGAACAAAAUAAUCCUUUCAGUUUCAGAUUGUGGUUUGUAUGAUUUUUUUUCUCUAUAGAUUAAUUUGAGAUGUGCAUUGAAAACUAGGAUGUUCUGUACCAAUUGCUAAACUGAAUUGGAGAACUGUUGUUUUUCUGCACAGAAAUGCAAAUAUCCUGGUGCUCUUUUGGGACAAGUGUUGUUUCUAUGAAGAGAAAUGCAAAUAUACUUCAAAUACACUAUAUAGAUGGAUUUGCUGAGAAAGGUUGGUGCAGCUAGAGAAGUUAAUUGUUUUUUAUUGUUUGGACAUUAAAAUGUCAUGAUUAUAGGGUGGAACCAAGCAUUAGCUAGCUUGAUCAAAUUAUAUGGUAGAAUAUGCCAGACAUGCAUGUUUAAUGUAGAAUAAGCUAUAUAUUUUCCUGGUGAAUGG